UACGGAGGAUCCAAGCGUUAUCCGGAAUCAUUGGGUUUAAAGGGUCCGUAGGCGGUUUGGUAAGUCAGUGGUGAAAGCCCAUCGCUCAACGGUGGAACGGCCAUUGAUACUGCCAGACUUGAAUUAUUAGGAAGUAACUAGAAUAUGUAGUGUAGCGGUGAAAUGCUUAGAGAUUACAAUGGAAUACCAAUUGCGAAGGCAGGUUACU
rnacentral:rRNA from 1 species